rnacentral:rRNA from 1 species
CACCAGCGGCUCUAGUGGUGUCCACGUUUAUUGGGUCUAAAGCGCCCGUAGCCGGUCUGGAAAGUCCUUGGUCAAAUCUGACGUCUCAAACGUCAGGCUGCCGGGGCUACUUCCGGACUUGGGACCGGGAGAGGUCAGAGGUACUUUCGGAGUAGGGGUGAAAUCCAGUGAUCCCGAAAGGACCACCAGUAGCGAAGGCGUCUGACUAGAACGGGUCCGACGGUGAGGGACGAAAGCCAGGGGCGCGAACCGG